UCGGCGCUGCAGGAUGACGCGAGCCUCUCGCGUCCCUGGUUUUCUCGGUCGCAGCGUUGAGUUAUUGGGUGGAAAGGCAUCACCUUAGAGUCAACCUUCUUUGAAACCACUGUCUCAGAGAAAUCCCUCCAAGACACAGGUAAUUAGAGAGGGUAUGUGAACCAAGGAGCCAAUCAAAUUCUCCCACAUAAGAAUUUGGGACACAGAAGAUGAAGCUGAGGACCACAAGGAUUUAGAUACUGAUGCUAUUUUAUUGAUUGCACUUGAGA
rnacentral:lncRNA from 10 species